GAUGAACGCUGGCGGCGUGCCUAAUACAUGCCAGUCGAGCGAACGGACGAGAAGCUUGCUUCUCUAAUGUUAGCGGCGGACGGGUGAGUAACACGUGGAUAACCUACCUAUAAGACUGGGAUAACUUCGGGAAACCGUAGCUAAUACCGGAUAAUAUUUUGAACCGCAUGGUUCAAAAGUGAAAGACGGUCUUGCUGUCACUUAUAGAUGGAUCCGCGCCGCAUUAGCUAGUUGGUAAGGUAACGGCUUACCAAGGCAACGAUGCAUAGCCGACCUGAGAGGGUGAUCGGCCACACUGGAACUGAGACACGGUCCAGACUCCUACGGGAGGCAGCAGUAGGGAAUCUUCCGCAAUGGGCGAAAGCCUGACGGAGCAACGCCGCGUGAGUGAUGAAGGUCUUCGGAUCGUAAAACUCUGUUAUUAGGGAAGAACAUAUGUGUAAGUAACUAUGCACAUCUUGACGGUACCUAAUCAGAAAGCCACGGCUAACUACGUG
rnacentral:rRNA from 1 species